rnacentral:rRNA from 1 species
CGGACGGGUGAGUAAUGCCUAGGAAAUUGCCUUGAUGUGGGGGAUAACCAUUGGAAACGAUGGCUAAUACCGCAUAAUGCCUACGGGCCAAAGAGGGGGACCUUCGGGCCUCUCGCGUCAAGAUAUGCCUAGGUGGGAUUAGCUAGUUGGUGAGGUAAUGGCUCACCAAGGCGACGAUCCCUAGCUGGUCUGAGAGGAUGAUCAGCCACACUGGAACUGAGACACGGUCCAGACUCCUACGGGAGGCAGCAGUGGGGAAUAUUGCACAAUGGGCGCAAGCCUGAUGCAGCCAUGCCGCGUGUAUGAAGAAGGCCUUCGGGUUGUAAAGUACUUUCAGUCGUGAGGAAGGUUNNNNNNUUAAUAGCGUAUGGAUUUGACGUUAGCGACAGAAGAAGCACCGGCUAACUCCGUGCCAGCAGCCGCGGUAAUACGGAGGGUGCGAGCGUUAAUCGGAAUUACUGGGCGUAAAGCGCAUGCAGGUGGUUUGUUAAGUCAGAUGUGAAAGCCCGGGGCUCAACCUCGGAACUGCAUUUGAAACUGGCAAACUAGAGUACUGUAGAGGGGGGUAGAAUUUCAGGUGUAGCGGUGAAAUGCGUAGAGAUCUGAAGGAAUACCAGUGGCGAAGGCGGCCCCC